GCACAAGCGGUGGAGUAUGUGGUUAAUUCGAUGCAACGCGAAGAACCUUACUGGGUUGGAGACCCCUGGAAUCCUGCAGAGAUGUGGGAGUGCUCUUUUAGAGAAUCAGGUGUCCAGGUGCUGCAUGGUUGUCGUCAGCUCGUGUCGUGAGAUGUUGGGUUAAAGUCCCGCAACGAGCGCAACCCCUGUUGUUAGUUGCCAGCGAUUCGGUCGGGCACUCUAAAGAGACUGCCGGUGUCAAACCGGAGGAAGGUGGGGAUGACGUCAAGUCCUCAUGGCCCUUACGUCCAGGGCUACACACGUGCUACAAUGGCCGGUACAAAGGGCUGCAAUACCGCAAGGUGGAGCGAACCCCAAAAAGCCGGUCUCAGUUCGGAUUGGAGUCUGCAACUCGACUCCAUGAAGUUGGAAUCGCUAGUAAUCGCGGAUCAGCAUGCCGCGGUGAAUACGUUCCCGGGCCUU
rnacentral:rRNA from 1 species